CCUACGGGGUGCAGCAGUGGGGAAUAUUGGGCAAUGGGCGCAAGCCUGACCCAGCAACGCCGCGUGAAGGAUGAAGGUUUUCGGAUUGUAAACUUCUGUCGCGAGGGACGAAGAAGGACGGUACCACGUAAGAAAGCCCCGGCUAACUACGUGCAAGCAGCCGCGGGAAUACGUAGGGGGCAAGCGUUGUCCGGAAUGACUGGGCGUAAAGGGAGCGUAGGCGGCCUUGAAAGUUAGCGGUGAAAUCCUAAGGCUUAACCGUAGAACUGCAUCUAAAACUGUGAGGCUUGAGUGCAGGAGGGGGGAGUGGAAUUCCUAGUGUAGCGGUGGAAUGCGUAGAUAUUAGGAGGAACACCAGAGGCGAAGGCGACUCACUGGACUGUAACUGACGCUGAGGCUCGAAAGCGUGGGGAGCAAACAGGAUUAGAUACCCUGGUAGUC
rnacentral:rRNA from 1 species